UACGAACUGUGCGAACGUUAUUCGGAAUCACUGGGCUUAAAGGGUGCGUAGGCGGCUGCCUAAGUCAGGUGUGAAAUCUCCCGGCUCAACCGGGAAACUGCGCUUGAUACUGGGCGGCUCGAGUCGAGGUAGGGGUGUGUGGAACUUCCGGUGGAGCGGUGAAAUGUGUAGAUAUCGGAAGGAACGCCAGCAGCGAAAGCGGCACACUGGGCCUUUUCUGACGCUGAGGCACGAAAGCCAGGGGAGCGAACGGG
rnacentral:rRNA from 1 species